CUGGUUUCAGAUGAGCACCUUUCUACCUGGGUCCUCAAAACAUUCUCUGAGAUCACAAACUCUCCCCAACCAUUUGAUCUAUGCUGUGUCUCUCGUUAUCUUACCACAACAGGCGUGAAGAUAUCUAUUGACAGAGCACAGAACCUUCCCUGGUCUGGCUUCACGCUCGCUCACAUCUGCUUCAACCCUCCAGCUGCAUUUUAUUUUGGACAACCUUGGUCAAAGUAUGACCAUCCCACCCCAGUCGAUGACAUUGACCUUAACAGCUAUCAGAAAUGCCCAGUGUGGAAGGAUGGUUUUAAGUCCUUUAUCCAAAGAUUUUACCAUGAGCAUUUAACAAUUGUCUGUCAAUUGCAUGAGAUCGUACUGAGCACAGAAACCAACAGCAGCCAACGCAUAGAACAUUCUGAUCUUCAAGAGGGUUCUUAUGAGUUACAUCAUGGAGUCAAAGCAUGGACGGCUCUUCAAGUCUUCUACAAAAAUUACUGUAAUCUGGGUGUUUACCAACUAC